rnacentral:rRNA from 1 species
UUCGCAAUGCCCGAAAGGGUGACGGAGCGACGCCGCGUGAGCGAAGAAGGCCUUAGGGUUGUAAAGCUCUGUCGGGGGUUAUGAAAUGUAGAUGAGUUAAUAGCUCGUUUAUUUGACAAAGGCCCCAAAGGAAGCCACGGCUAACUCUGUGCCAGCAGCCGCGGUAAUACAGAGGUGGCAAGCGUUGUUCGGAAUUAUUGGGCGUAAAGAGCACGUAGGUUGUUUUGUAAGUCAGGUGUGAAAGCCUUCUGCUUAAAGGAAGAACGGCAUCUGAAACUGCAGAUCUUGAGUGUAGGAGGGGGGAGUGGAACUUCUGGUGGAGCGGUGAAAUGCGUAGAUAUCAGAAGGAACGUCGGCGGCGAAAGCGACUCUCUGGCCUAUUACUGACACUGAGUGUGCGAAAGUUAGGGGAGCAAACGGGAUUGGAUACCCCGGUAGUCCUAACUGUAAACGAUGGGCACUAAGUAGAGGGGUUUU